ACUUAACCGACAAAGCAACUUUCAGAACAUACUACAGAGAAAGGAAAUGAUGUGCUGCUUUUGCAAUUCCUGUUUCAAGAACAGGAGAUACUCUAUAUGGAUCCGUGUGCACACGUGUUCACUCUGAGGGGGAGUGGAGGCUUUGUAAACACGUCCGAUGCACGUCCCUAUGCUGGGGAACUCAGAUGCUGAGGACAACCAGAAUCCUGACUUCCACUCCCCCCUUCCCACCCAGGAGAGCACGGACUCCUUGACCGUCAGUUAUAUCCAGGACCAUGCUGUGAGCUGUGAAGAGACCCCCGAGCAAGGCAAUGAGGGAGGCCUCUAGCGAACUGUCAGCAGGGAACUGAGGCCCUCAGUCUGAAAGCCUAUGAGGCGUAUUAUCCUGCCAACAACCAUACAAAUGGCCUUGGAAGUGAUCCUCCCCCAGCUGAGCCUUCAGAUGAGCUGCAGCACCAAAGGACACCUUGGUUGGAGCCUGAAGGCAGAGGCA